AGUGAACGCUGGCGGUAGGCCUAACACAUGCAAGUCGAACGGCAGCACAGUAAGAGCUUGCUCUUACGGGUGGCGAGUGGCGGACGGGUGAGGAAUACAUCGGAAUCUACUUUUUCGUGGGGGAUAACGUAGGGAAACUUACGCUAAUACCGCAUACGACCUACGGGUGAAAGCAGGGGAUCUUCGGACCUUGCGCGAUUGAAUGAGCCGAUGUCGGAUUAGCUAGUUGGCGGGGUAAAGGCCCACCAAGGCGACGAUCCGUAGCUGGUCUGAGAGGAUGGUCAGCCACACUGGAACUGAGACACGGUCCAGACUACUACGGGAGGCAGCAGUGGGGAAUAUUGGACAUUGGGCGCAAGCCUGAUCCAGCCAUACCGCGUGGGUGAAGAAGGCCUUCGGGUUGUAAAGCCCUUUUGUUGGGAAAGAAAAGCAGCAGGUUAAUACCCCGCUGUUCUGACGGUACCCAAAGAAUAAGCACCGGCUAACUUCGUG
rnacentral:rRNA from 1 species